ACGGCCUACGGGACGCAGCAGUGGGGAAUAUUGCACAAUGGGGGAAACCCUGACGCAGCGACGCCGCGUGAGUGAGGAAGUAUUUCGGUAUGUAAAGCUCUAUCAGCAGGGAAGAACAAUGACGGUACCUGACUAAGAAGCACCGGCUAAAUACGUGCCAGCAGCCGCGGUAAUACGUAUGGUGCAAGCGUUAUCCGGAUUUACUGGGUGUAAAGGGAGCGCAGGCGGCGCGUUAAGCCUGGUGUGAAAGCCCGCGGCCCAACCGCGGGACUGCAUUGGGAACUGGCGCGCUGGAGUGCCGGCGG
rnacentral:rRNA from 1 species